rnacentral:rRNA from 1 species
UACGAAGGAGGCUAGCGUUGUUCGGAAUCACUGGGCGUAAAGCGCACGUAGGCGGAUUGUUAAGUCGGGGGUGAAAUCCUGAGGCUCAACCUCAGAACUGCCUUCGAUACUGGCAAUCUCGAGUCCGGAAGAGGUUGGUGGAACAGCUAGUGUAGAGGUGAAAUUCGUAGAUAUUAGCUAGAACACCAGUGGCGAAGGCGGCCAACUGGUCCGGUACUGACGCUGAGGUGCGAAAGCGUGGGGAGCAAACAGG